CCUACGGGGGGCAGCAGUGGGGAAUAUUGCACAAUGGAGGAAACUCUGAUCCAGCGACGCCGCGUGCGUGAAGAAGGAUUUCGGUAUGUAAAGCUCUAUCAGCAGGGAAGAAGAAAGACGGUACCUGACUAAGAAGCCCCGGCUAACUCCGUGCCAGCAGCCGCGGAAAUCCGUAGGGGGCAAGCGUUAUUCGGAUUUAGUGGGUGGAAAGGGAGCGUAGACGGGUGUGCAAGUAUGAAGUGAAAGCCCACGGCUCAACCCUGGGACUGCUUUGGAAACUGGGGAGCUAGAGUGCUGGAGAGGUUAGUGGAAUUCCUAGUGUAGCGGUGAAAUGCGUAGAUAUUAUGAGGAACACCAGUGGCGAAGGCGGCUUACUGGACAGUAACUGACGUUGAGGCUCGAAAGCGUGGGGAGCAAACAGGAUUAGAUACCCUAGUAGUC
rnacentral:rRNA from 1 species